rnacentral:rRNA from 1 species
AUUGAACGCUGGCGGCAGGCCUAACACAUGCAAGUCGAGCGAGCGGCGGACGGGUGAGUAAUGUCUGGGAAACUGCCUGAUGGAGGGGGAUAACUACUGGAAACGGUAGCUAAUACCGCAUACCAUCAGAUGUGCCCAGAUGGGAUUAGCUCGUGGGUGGGGUAACGGCUCACCUAGGCGACGAUCCCUAGCUGGUCUGAGAGGAUGACCAGUCACACUGGAACUGAGACACGGGCCAGAGUCCUACGGGAGGCAGCAGUGGGGAAUAUUGCACAAUGGGCGCAAGCCUGAUGCAGCCAUGCCGCGUGUAUGAAGAAGGCCUUCGGGUUGUAAAGUACUUUCAGCGGGGAGGCGGGAACAGAAGAAGAAGCACCGGCUAACUCCGUGCCAGCAGCCGCGGUAAUAG